rnacentral:rRNA from 1 species
GACGAACGCUGGCGGCGUGCUUAACACAUGCAAGUCGAACGAUGAAGCCGGAGCUUGCUCCGGUGGAUUAGUGGCGAACGGGUGAGUAACACGUGAGCAAUCUGCCCUUGACUCUGGGAUAACUGCGGGAAACUGUAGCUAAUACCGGAUACGACACCUUGGGGCAUCCCAGGGUGUGGAAAGAAUUUCGGUCAAGGAUGAGCUCGCGGCCUAUCAGCUAGUUGGUGAGGUAAUGGCUCACCAAGGCGACGACGGGUAGCCGGCCUGAGAGGGGGACCGGCCAGAAUGGAACUGAGACACGGUCCAGACUCCGACGGGAGGCAGCAGUGGGGAAUAGUGCACAAGGGGCGAAAGCCUAAUGCAGCAACGCCGCGUGAGGGAUGAAGGCCUUCGGGUUGUAAACCUCUUUUAGCAGGGAAGAAGCGAAAGUGACGGUACCUGCAGAAAAAGCACCGGCUAACUACGUGCCAGCCGCCGCCGUAA